GGGGAGAGAAGAGCUCUGCAGUUUGCAGGCUGCUCCGAUCCUAGGCCUCGCUGCCGAUCCUAGGCCGGAGCUGGAGGCAAGUGGCUGAGCGCCCUGGGGCUGGGCAGGGCUAUAGAAAGACUCAAAGCUACAGGGAGAUUCAGCCUGUGUGAGCCCACAGGAAAUCUGCAGAACUAUAGAAAACACAGCCAGGUUUGCUGAGCAAUCUUCAGAGUUGGAAGCAGAUUACAUAGGGGAAAAAGAAGAUCUAAAGAACUCGCAGUGUUCAACCCAGAAACAUAACAUCAACAACAACCACUGGAACAACACCAUGAUGAUAUUAGAGGAUGACAGUUGCCUUUAUCUUGAUAAAUAUGAGAGCCACCAUUACCUCCUUGCACAGUCAGCAGGGAUGUGCUGUAUAAAAGCAAGACCCACUUCUCUGUGCUACAACACCACCUUUUUCAAAAUGUUGUCAUAAAAAUUUCACAGCGUCGCUCUUCCCAUGAAUGAAUUGCUUGGACUGCUUCCUACUUCAACAUGACUCAUGUUUUCUAAUAAUGCACAAAGAAAUAGACUGGAUCAUCCCCAAGGUUUAUUUUGCUAGAGCUUCAGAGACUAAUCUUAGCCAGAGCUCAGAAGGGAUUGGCCUUGAAAUGCAUCACUAACCUCUAGAAUAUGGCAAGAAAUAAUAAACUGAUUUGGAGAAUGUGCAGAGUGCUGUUUAUAUACUAUCAAAUGCCAACAUCUACUCCAUAUGUAUCUGUGAUAGCCUCUAUUUGCAAGUAGCAACCAACAUACAUACCAUAUUGUACAGUUUCACAUGCUAACUAGGCAAAGAGGCACCUUUUUAACAUGGUGAUUCUCUUUAUUUACCAGGGGGAGAGUAACUGGCCCUAUCCACCCCCAGCACAGUACCUCCAGUGACUAUUGCUGGUGUCCAUCUUAUGUUUCUUUUUAAAUUGUGAGCCCUUUGGGAGCCAUCUUGUUUGUUUGUUUAUUAUUUCUCACUGUAAAUCACUUUGGAAACUUUCAUUAAAAAGCAGUAUAUAAAUAUUUGUUGUCUGUUUUUGUUGAUUGGUAGAUUAUGAGCCUUCUGGGGACAUGGACCCAUCAUUUAUUUGUUUGUUUGUUUGUUAUUUCUCUGUGUAAACCACUUUGGAAACAUUUGUUGAAAAGCGGUAUAUAAAUUUGUUGUUGUUGUUAUUGUUGUUGUUGUAUAACAAUAUGGUUAUUCAUAUGCUGCAGUAAACACGAGACAGUAGUAACAGCUAUCUGUAUUGUACAUUUCAGAAGGGUCCAGUCCCCAUUUUGAUUUGUAAAAUGAACAUAUGUAUUCAUAUGAAACCCCGUGUGUGCCUACAAUGUAAUUACCCAUACCUAUGAGGUUUGGGGUUCCAGGAGUAUG